rnacentral:rRNA from 1 species
AUUGAACGCUGGCGGCAGGCCUAACACAUGCAAGUCGAGCGGAGCGGCAGACGGGUUGGUAAUUCCUAGGAAUCUGCCUUGUAUUGGGGGAUAAGGUCCGGACCGUGGCCCUAAUACCACAUACUAUCAGAUGAUCCUAGGUCGGAUUAGCUAGUUGGUGGGGUAAAGGCCUACCAAGGCCACGAUCCGUAACUGGUCUGAGAGGAUGAUCAGGCACACUGGAACUGAGACACGGGCCAGACUCCUACGGGAGGCAGCAGUGGGGAAUAUUGCGCAAUGGGCGAAAGCCUGACGCAGCCAGGCCGCGUGUGUGAAGAAGGUCUUCGGAUUGUAAAGCACUUUAAGUUGGGAGGCGUUACCAACAGAAUAAGCACCGGCUAACUUCGUGCCAGCAGCCGCGGUAAUUC